rnacentral:rRNA from 1 species
GAUGAACGCUGACAGAAUGCUUAACACAUGCAAGUCAACUUGAAUUUGGGUUUUUAACUUAGGUUUGGGUGGCGGACGGGUGAGUAACGCGUAAAGAACUUGCCUCACAGCUAGGGACAACAUUUGGAAACGAAUGCUAAUACCUAAUAUUAUGAUAAUAGGGCAUCCUAUAAUUAUGAAAGCUAUAAGCGCUGUGAGAGAGCUUUGCGUCCCAUUAGCUAGUUGGAGAGGUAACGGCUCAUCAAGGCGAUGAUGGGUAGCCGGCCUGAGAGGGUGAUCGGCCACAAGGGGACUGAGACACGGCCCUUACUCCUACGGGAGGCAGCAGUGGGGAAUAUUGGACAAUGGACCAAGAGUCUGAUCCAGCAAUUCUGUGUGCACGAUGAAGUUUUUCGGAAUGUAAAGUGCUUUCAGUUGGGAAGAAAGAAAUGACGGUACCAACAGAAGAAGUGACGGCUAAAUACGUG